CCUACGGGAGGCAGCAGUAGGGAAUCUUCCACAAUGGACGAAAGUCUGAUGGAGCAACGCCGCGUGAGUGAAGAAGGGUUUCGGCUCGUAAAGCUCUGUUGGUAGUGAAGAAAGAUAGAGGUAGUAACUGGCCUUUAUUUGACGGUAAUUACUUAGAAAGUCACGGCUAACUACGUGCCAGCAGCCGCGGUAAUACGUAGGUGGCAAGCGUUGUCCGGAUUUAUUGGGCGUAAAGCGAGUGCAGGCGGUUCAAUAAGUCUGAUGUGAAAGCCUUCGGCUCAACCGGAGAAUUGCAUCAGAAACUGUUAGACUUGAGUGCAGAAGAGGAGAGUGGAACUCCAUGUGUAGCGGUGGAAUGCGUAGAUAUAUGGAAGAACACCAGUGGCGAAGGCGGCUCUCUGGUCUGCAACUGACGCUGAGGCUCGAAAGCAUGGGUAGCGAACAGGAUUAGAUACCCCUGUAGUC
rnacentral:rRNA from 1 species